rnacentral:tRNA from 1 species
GGGGAUGUAGCUCAGUGGUGGAGCACUUGCCUAGCAUGCUGAGGCCCUGGGUUUGAUUUCCUGCACCACUG